rnacentral:rRNA from 1 species
UUUCUGAUCAAGAGAAUAAGAGCACACGGUGGAUGCCUUGGCGCCAAGAGCCGAUGAAGGACGUGGGCGGCUGCGAUAAGCGUGGGGGAGGUGCUGACCAACCUUUGAUCCCGCGAUUUCCGAAUGGGGAAACCUACGCGUGGUAAUGCGCGCGUGUUCCCAGCUGAAUACAUAGGCUGGGUAAUGGCAAGCCGGGGAACUGAAACAUCUUAGUACCCGGAGGAAAGGAAAGAAACCUCGAUUCCCUGAGUAGUGGCGAGCGAAAAGGGAACAGCCCAAACCUUUGUGAUGUGAUAGGCGGCAGCCGUUGUCACAGAGGUGUUGUAGGGCCUGAUUUGAUCCGCCUGCCGGCGGGUCGGGAAGUUACAAAGUUGCGUGUUAGCCAAAGUGGAUGGAAAGCCACACCACAGCGGGUAAGAGUCCCGUAGGCGAAAGCGCGUAGCCUUCCUUAUCAGGUUCCUGAGUACGGCCGGGCACGGGAAACCCGGUCGGAACCCGCGGGGACCACCCCGCAAGGCUAAGUACUCCUUGGCGACCGAUAGUGAACUAGUACCGUGAGGGAAAG